AGUGAACGCUGGCGGUAGGCCUAGCACAUGCAAGUCGAACGGCAGCACAGUAAGAGCUUGCUCUUACGGGUGGCGAGUGGCGGACGGGUGAGGAAUACAUCGGAAUCUACUUUUUCGUGGGGGAUAACGUAGGGAAACUUACGCUAAUACCGCAUACGGCCUACGGGUGGAAGCAGGGGAUCUUCGGACCUUGCGCGAUUGAAUGAGCCGAUGUCGGAUUAGCUAGUUGGCGGGGUAAAGGCCCACCAAGGCGACGAUCCGUAGCUGGUCUGAGAGGAUGAUCAGCCACACUGGAACUGAGACACGGUCCAGACUCCUACGGGAGGCAGCAGUGGGGAAUAUUGGACAAUGGGCGCAAGCCUGAUCCAGCCAUACCGCGUGGGUGAAGAAGGCCUUCGGGUUGUAAAGCCCUUUUGUUGGGAAAGAAAAGCAGCAGGUUAAUACCCCGCUGUUCUGACGGUACCCAAGGAAUAAGCACCGGCUAACUUCGUG
rnacentral:rRNA from 1 species